rnacentral:misc_RNA from 1 species
UUGGUUUUUGGUUUUUGCGAUCGUAUAUUCGGAUAGAAGCUGUAUAUCAGCUUGACUUGACUGAGAAACUAAGAAAUCGGAAGUCAAAAUUUUCAGUUUUCUUGGUUGAUUUUUAUUUGAAAUGGAAGGAAAGAGCUCAUUGAGAUUCACUCUUGGGAAGCAAUCAUCUUUAGCACCAGACCGGCACCCGGAGGAUUCAGGUGCGGAACAUGAAGAAUUGGAAGAGAUCGAUCCCGGUGUGCGGCUAAUGUACUCCGCCAAUGAGGGCAAUUUGGAUGGGAUUCGUGAACUCUUGAAUUCGGGAAUUGAUGUUAAUUUCCGUGACAUCGAUAACCGUACCGCGCUACAUGUUGCUGCUUGCCAAGGCUAUGCGAACGUGGUCGCUCUAUUGCUUGAUAACGGGGCCGAGGUGGACACCAAAGAUAGAUGGGGGAGCACGCCUCUUGCAGAUGCUAUAUACUAUAAAAACCAUGAUGUGAUCAAACUUUUGGAGAAACGUGGUGCAAAGCCUCUGAUGGCCCCCAUGCGCGUCAAUCAUGCACUUGAAGUCCCAGAAUAUGAAAUUAAUCCUGAGGAGCUCGAUUUUACUAACAGUGUAGAAAUAACCAAGGGAACUUUUCGUCUAGCAUCAUGGCGUGGAAUUCAAGUGGCUGUUAAAAGGCUGGGGGAGGAUGUGAUUUCUGAUGAGGAGA